ACACUCUGUCUCUCUCUUUCAAAAAUAUAUAAACAUUAAAAAAUUUUUCUGGCUUCUGCUUGGGGUCCAGAAGGCUUCACAAAAGCACUGGGCCACCCACCCUGCCCCGGGGCUCCCACCAGCUGUGCUUUUGAUAUGUGCGGACAGCUUCUUUUUGCCACAUCUGCUGUGUUCUUUAUUUCAACUAGAAAAACCUUCAUACUUAAUCAUUUUUCUCAGGUCUUGUAAAUGAAUGCCUUCUUAUUCUUGUUUCGUAUUGCCAAUAGCUUCAUGUUCUAUAAAAUAAAUAUAAGGAGUGUUUUAAAUUUUUUCAACGUUUUUAUUUAUUUUAGAGAGAGAGAGAGCACGCGAGUGUGAGCAGGGGAGGGGCAGAAAGAGGAGACACAGAAUCCAAAGCAGGCUCUGAGCUGUCAGCACAGAGCCCGAUGCAGGGCUCGACCCCACGAACCUCGAGUUGAUGACCUGCGCUGGAGUCUGACGCUCAACGGACUGAGCCACGCAGGCACCCGGAUAAUUAGUGUUUCAAAGCCUCGCUCAUCUGUUCCAAUACUUCUGCUUUGGAUGUUCUAUGUUGUCCCACUUUUUGGCCCUUCUCUUGUGAUAUUUUGCUCCUUGGAGAGCCUAAGUUCGUGUUCUGCUGGUACCUGUUCUGUAGGUGGUGCCCAUUGGGGUUCAGGGCCAAUUCCUGGUGCCUCUCGGGAAGCCAGGCAAGAGAAGGGAUGAGCCCUAAGACAGAGAGUCACAAACCCCAAGACCCCUGGUUAGCCAUAUUUAUCUGUAGGUGUAAAGAGUGUUCCUACACAUUUAAAAGGAAAGCGAAGUGUAUCUGUGUCUGUUUUUCUGACACCUGGCCCAUUUUGCUCCCACAUGCUACCUGCCUGUCCCCUGUGAGCAUCGGAGUUUGUCACCUCCCUGCCAACGAUUGUGUGGGCCUGACUCAGAGGCACGUGCCAACCGAGGACGGUUAAAGGGGAUGUGCGUGACCUACAGCCAGUGCCGAUUUGUGCCGAUUCCUGGUCGAAGGGGAGACAGGGAAACUACCCCUGAACGCGCUAUCCGCCAAGGCUGUUCCUGGGUUCCUUAAUGUGGAGUGAAAACUUAAAGCACGUGAACGUUCCCGGUGCAGAAGACGUCAAGAUUCUUACGGCUCUCCCCCAGCCUGUUAACGACUGUUUCACCCAUACCUGCUCCCAUCUUGAGAUCCCCACCUUUAUCGUUUUCCCCAGCGCGUCUGCAGAGAAAUAAACUUUAUUGCCACUCGUA